rnacentral:lncRNA from 10 species
CUCUUAUCUCCCUCCUUGAGGACAAGUCUAUUCUGCUGUCUUCUAACCGGUGUUUUCUUUGCAUGAUUUUUUGUGGGGUGUUUAUUAUUUUUUGCCUGUCCGGCAACUUUUGUUUUCAGGAACUGUCUCCACUCUUGCUCCAAACCUGGUAACACUGCCAUUCCCUCUGUGCCACAUGUGAGGGACCCAGGCCCAGGAUUCUAGUCUAGGUACCUCACCCCCUGGAAACAGUGUUUGGCUCAGGGAUCGGCUCACGACGCAAACAGAACCAAGGAGAGUGCUUUUGAGUGGAAAAAAAAGGAGUGCCCCAAUAGGGCUGGUAAGCCCAAGGGCCGUCUGAACCUGGGGGUCUUCACCUUGGAGAAAGCCUGUCUGUUAUGCCUGAAGUCAUCUCAGAAGUGGUACCACAGAGGAGUUGACUAGCUUUGCUUAUGCUCUCAAGUUGAUCCAUACAGUGCCAGAUUAUACCCUAUCAUAAGAGAUAGGGUCCCCUGAACACAAGAAGUCAUCUCCCCUUCUGGGACUGUGAACUCAAGAAAGCAGGAAGUAUGCCUCCCUUAUUCAUCACUGGGUCCCCAGUGCUUAGAACAGUGCCUGGCACAGAGACGGGGCUCUGUAAAGAUCUGCUGAAUGAACACUUUAUCCUCUUACUUCUUAUCCUUCAAGCCUCAGAUGUUCCCCCAGGAUGCCUUCUUCGUUUCCCCAGACUAGUUCAAGCUGCACCUCCGACGUGCUCCCACAGCCCCUGAGCUGCCUCCCUGCAGACGCCAUACCUGCCGUGGCUGCUUGUUUGCUGAGUAGCCUCUCCCACUGAACCCUGGGCAACUUGAGGUCAGGGACCAUGCUGUUUACUGUUACAGUGAAUUAAAAUGUCUAAAACGGUGUCUGACCACUAGCACAUACUUAACAAAUAAUUUUUAUAAGUGAAUAAACAUUCUCCUCUUUUUUCUUCAAUUCCCUUCUCUAUUUUGGUUAGUAAAACUAUAUGCAUGCUUAUACAUUUAGACCGUACUUCAAAAGUAUCUGAGAUAGCCACAUAUACAUACACACACGUAUAUAUAGCAUAAUGUUUAAUCUAAUAUAUAGAAAUGAGAGCACUGACAGGAAAAAGAGGGAACUGAGAACUGAAAAAAUAUACAUUGGUUUUUUUUUUUUUUUUUUGAGACGGA